AACAAAUCCUAAAGUAGAUAAUGUCACCAAUGUUUACCUUUGAUAAUUUAGGCUCGAUCAUAUAAAUAAGAAUAAGAUCAACAGGUGAUAAUUCUUGAGGUCAAUGAUUGUGAAUUAUUGUCAACCUAUCAAUUCUAUCUCCUUAGUAAGAUGAUCAAGUCAUUUUUUAUUGAAAAAAGUGAACGAGCCAAUGAUGUUCUGAAUCUGAUACAUAAUGAUGUAUUGGAUUUAUGAACAUGUUUGUCAUAAAGUUAGAUUAUUUGAAAUAUUCAAAUAAGUUCAUAAUAAGAUAGAAAAAUAAAUUUGAAAGAGCAUUAAAAUUUUUUGGUC
rnacentral:lncRNA from 1 species